rnacentral:snRNA from 1 species
GUGCUCACUUCAGCAGCGCACAUUAGAAUGAUACAGAGAUUAGCAUAGCUGCUGCACAAGGAGGAAAUGCACAUUUGUGAAAUGUUCCUUUUUUUU